UGUGCUGACCAAGCCCUGCAGACUGGGU
rnacentral:piRNA from 1 species